UGUAAUCUCUGUGAGACCACCAGUGNCGAAGGCGUCUUACCAGAACGGGUCCGACGGUGAGGGACGAAAGCUGGGGGCACGAACCGGAUUAGAUACCCGGGUAGUCCCAGCUGUAAACGAUGCUCGUUAGGUGUCAGGAACGGUGCGACUGUUUCUGGUGCCGAAGGGAAGCCGUGAAACGAGCCACCUGGGAAGUACGGCCGCAAGGCUGAAACUUAAAGGAAUUGCCGGGGGAGCACUACAACGGGUGGAGCCUGCGGUUUAAUUGGACUCAACGCCGGAAAACUCACCGGGGGCGACAGCAAUAUGUAGGUCAGGUUAAAGGUCUUACCUGAAUCGCUGAGAGGAGGUGCAUGGCCGUCGUCAGUUCGUACUGUGAAGCAUCCUGUUAAGUCAGGCAACGAGCAAGACCCGUGCCCACUGUUACCAGCAUAUCCUUUAUGGAUGAUGGGGACUCUGUGGGGACCGCUGCUGCUAAAGCAGAGGAAGGUGCGGGCUACGGUAGGUCAGUAUGCCCCGAAUCUCCCGGGCUACACGCGGGCUACAAUGGUUGGGACAAUGGGUAUCUACUCCGAAAGGAGUUGGCAAUCUCUUAAACCCAAUCGUAGUUCGAAUUGAGGGCUGUAACUCGCCCUCAUGAAGCUGGAAUCCGUAGUAAUCGCGUUUCAACAUAGCGCGG
rnacentral:rRNA from 1 species